ACGUAGGGUGCGAGCGUUAAUCGGAAUUACUGGGCGUAAAGGGUGCGCAGGCGGUUCGGAAAGAGAGAUGUGAAAUCCCAGAGCUAAACUUUGGAACUGCAUUUUUAACUGCCGAGCUAGAGUGUGUCAGAGGGAGGUGGAAUUCCGCGUGUAGCAGUGAAAUGCGUAGAGAUGCGGAGGAACACCGAUGGCGAAGGCAGCCUCCUGGGAUAACACUGACGCUGAGGCACGAAAGCGUGGGGAGCAAACAGG
rnacentral:rRNA from 1 species